UGAACCGGCCAUUGUAGCACGUGUGUAGCCCAGAACAUAAGGGGCAUGAUGAUUUGACGUCAUCCCCACCUUCCUCCGAGUUGUCCCCGGCAGUCCCACUAGAGUGCCCAACUGAAUGAUGGCAACUAAUGGCAAGGGUUGCGCUCGUUGCGGGACUUAACCCAACAUCUCACGACACGAGCUGACGACAACUCAUGCACCACCUGUCACCUCUGUCCCUUUGGAAAGGCUCGGUUAAGAGCCGGUCACAGGGAUGUCCAGUCCUGGUAAGGUUCUUCCCGUUGCUUCCCAAUUAAACUACAUGCUCCGCUGCUUGUGCGGGUCCCCGCUCAAUUCCUUUGAGUAUCACACUUGCGUGCGUACUCCCCUCAGCGGCAGCACUUAAUGCGGUUAACUGCGGGCACCGAAGCUAUUGAUACCCCCGACACCUAGUGCAUCAUCGUUAUACCGC
rnacentral:rRNA from 1 species